CGAGCGGAAACGAAGAGGAGCUUGCUCCUUUGGCGUCGAGCGGCGGACGGGUGAGUAAUGCUUGGGAAUGUGCCUUAUGGUGGGGGACAACAGUUGGAAACGACUGCUAAUACCGCAUAAUGUCUUCGGACCAAAGUGGGGGACCUUCGGGCCUCACGCCAUAAGAUCAGCCCAAGUGGGAUUAGCUAGUUGGUAAGGUAAUGGCUUACCAAGGCGACGAUCCCUAGCUGGUUUGAGAGGAUGAUCAGCCACACUGGGACUGAGACACGGCCCAGACUCCUACGGGAGGCAGCAGUGGGGAAUAUUGCACAAUGGGCGCAAGCCUGAUGCAGCCAUGCCGCGUGUGUGAAGAAGGCCUUCGGGUUGUAAAGCACUUUCAGUAAGGAGGAAAGGUUAAGUGUUAAUAGCACUUAGCUGUGACGUUACUUACA
rnacentral:rRNA from 1 species